AAUCCGAGAAUUUCACCUCUGACAAUUAAAUACUAAUGCCCCCAACUGUCCCUAUUAAUCGUAAUCUAGAAUUAACCAAGAUUCUAGACACAUUCGUUAUUCCAUGCUAAUGUAUUCCUGCAACAGCCUGCUUGAAACACUCUAAUUUUCUCACAGUAACAGUCAAAGACUGGUAGGAGGCAAAGCUAACGCAGUGCCUUCCAUGAAAUCCAACUACGAGCUUUUUAACUGCAACAACUUUAAUAUACGCUAUUGGAGCUGGAAUUACCGC
rnacentral:misc_RNA from 1 species